rnacentral:misc_RNA from 1 species
GGAAGUAAAAGUCGUAAUAAGGUUUCCGUAGGUGAACCUGCGGAAGGAUCAUUAUUGUAUAACCGAGGUGCGAGGGCUGUCGCUGACCCGAAAGGUCGUGCACGCCCGAGUGCCCUCACACACAUCCAUCUCACCCCUAUGUGCACCACCGCGUGGGUCCCCCUUUGGCUUGUUCGGAGGGGGGCUUACGUUUUCACACAAACUUUGUAUGCAGUGUAGAAUGUAUUUUUUGUUUUUGCGAUCACGCAAUAAAUACAACUUUCAACAACGGAUCUCUUGGCUCUC